rnacentral:rRNA from 1 species
AUUGAACGCUGGCGGCAGGCCUAACACAUGCAAGUCGAGCGGCAGCGACUUAACUGAACCUUCGGGGAACGUUAAGGGCGGCGAGCGGCGGACGGGUGAGUAAUGCCUGGGAAUAUGCCCUGAUGUGGGGGAUAACUAUUGGAAACGAUAGCUAAUACCGCAUAAUCUCUUCGGAGCAAAGAGGGGGACCUUCGGGCCUCUCGCGUCAGGAUUAGCCCAGGUGGGAUUAGCUUGUUGGUGAGGUAAUGGCUCACCAAGGCAACGAUCCCUAGCUGGUCUGAGAGGAUGAUCAGCCACACUGGAACUGAGACACGGUCCAGACUCCUACGGGAGGCAGCAGUGGGGAAUAUUGCACAAUGGGGGAAACCCUGAUGCAGCCAUGCCGCGUGUGUGAAGAAGGCCUUCGGGUUGUAAAGCACUUUCAGUAGGGAGGAAGGUAGUGUAGUUAACACCUGCAUUAUUUGACGUUACCUACAGAAGAAGCACCGGCUAACUCCGUGCCAGCAGCCGCGGUAAUACGGAGGGUGCGAGCGUUAAUCGGAAUUACUGGGCGUAAAGCGCAUGCAGGCGGCCUGUUAAGCCAGAUGUGAAAGCCCGGGGCUUAACCUCGGAAUUGCAUUUGAAACUGGCAGGCUAGAGUCUUGUAGAGGGGGGUAGAAUUUCAGGUGUAGCGGUGAAAUGCGUAGAGAUCUGAAGGAAUACCAGUGGCGAAAGCGGCCCCCUGGACAAAGACUGACGCUCAGAUGCGAAAGCGUGGGGAGCAAACAGG